CAGUAGCCGCGGUAAUACGUAGGUGGCAAGCGUUGUCCGGAAUUAUUGGGCGUAAAGGGCUCGCAGGCGGUUUCUUAAGUCUGAUGUGAAAGCCCCCGGCUCAACCGUGGAGGGUCAUUGGAAACUGGGAAACUUGAGUGCAGAAGAGGAGAGUGGAAUUCCACGUGUAGCGGUGAAAUGCGUAGAGAUGUGGAGGAACACCAGUGGCGAAGGCGACUCUCUGGUCUGUAACUGACGCUGAGGAGCGAAAGCGUGGGGAGCGAACAGGAUUAGAUACCCCGGUAGUCCCUGUCUCUUAUAC
rnacentral:rRNA from 1 species